AGAGUUUGAUCAUGGCUCAGGAUGAACGCUAGCUACAGGCUUAACACAUGCAAGUCGAGGGGCAGCAUGUUGGUUACUUGCAACCAACGAUGGCGACCGGCGCACGGGUGAGUAACGCGUAUCCAACCUACCCUUGUCCAUCGGAUAACCCGUCGAAAGGCGGCCUAACACGAUAUGCGGUUCACAGCAGGCAUCUAACGUGAACGAAAUGUAAAGGAGAAGGAUGGGGAUGCGUCUGAUUAGCUUGUUGGCGGGGUAACGGCCACCAAGGCUACGAUCAGUAGGGGUUCUGAGAGGAAGGUCCCCANAUUGGAACUGAGACACGGUCCAAACUCCUACGGGAGACA
rnacentral:rRNA from 1 species